CCCAGCGCCUUAAAAGGCCAGCGCACGGCCGCUGGACUUGGCCGGCCGCCGCUUCCGAGCCCCCCCUGAACGCCGCUCUCCGUGGGCGGCCGUGGCGGGCGGGAUGGCCGCGGACUGGACGGUGGUGGUCCUGACCUGCCAGCACAGGGACAGCGCCUUCGCCUUCCAGAGAGAGCUGGAGAUCCGCCGAGACAGAGGCUCCCUGGGCCGGGAGACCAUCCUGCUCACUGUGGAAGACCCCAAAGCCCAGGUGGGCAGCGGAGGGGCUACCCUCAAUGCUCUCUUGGUGGCAGCAGAACACCUGAGUGCUCAGGCCGGUCAUACGGUUGUCACUGCUGACGUCUUGCAGGAGGCCAGGAUUCUCGUCUUGCACAUGGGCCGGGACUUUCUCUUCGAUGAUUGCAGCCGUGCAUUUCUCUGCCUCCCUCUCGAAGACCCUGCGGCCCACACCGAGGUCCUCACCUGCCACUUGGAUCAGCUUCUGGCCACCUUAACAGAGCAAGUCUGCAGGGGGUCUCCCCCAGGCGUGUGGGUCUCCAGCACCGAUAUGUUUCUGACGGUCCCUGCCAUGCCCGAAAUUGACUGGCGGAACUUCCAGGGGGUGAAAGUGGUUGCAGUGCCUGCCAGCAUCUCCUAUGCCAGGCAAUAUGGCGUCUACUCGGUGGAUUCUCAGGGGCUGGUGCAAGACAUCCUCUACCAGAGCUCAGAGGAGGAGAUCCAGCGAUGCCUGGGGCCCGAUGGGAAGGUCCCCCUGGUGUGCGGGGUCGUCUUCUUCUCCUCCAGAGCGGCAGAGCAGCUCCUGGCCACCCACGUCAUCCCCCCACUCAAUGCCUGCACCUACAUGGGGCUGGACUCGGGAGCCCCGGCCCUCCAGCUGUCUCUCUUCUUCGACCUGCUCCUGUGCAUGGCCCAGGCAGUGACGGAGGAGGCCUUCGUGGCCGGUCACAAAACAGGGGCUGGGGCAGGAGAUGCCCAGGGCUCCAGGGCAGCUCGGAGUGCCCGGACUGUGCUGUGGAAGACUCUCCGCACGGUGCCACUCACAAUGGCCUACCUUCCUGAUGGCACCUAUAAGUACAUGACCUCCUCUGCGAGGGAGCACAUCUGCCGCCUGACCCCUCAGCUGGGUGAUGCCCACAGCAGGGCUUUCUGCAAGGUGGCCCAUUCUAGUGUGGAAGAGCCGCGUCUACUGGAGGAAGGUUGCUCUGUCACCAACUGCCUGCUGGAGGGCGCUGUGGUUGUGGGGCCAGGGAACGUCAUCCAGCACUGCUGCCUGCAGGGUCCCUUACACAUCCGUUCUGGCUGCCUCCUCACUGGGCUGGAUGUGGCCUCCUCUGUGGCCCUCAGAAGCCACUUACUUCAGGACGUGGUCAUUCAGGGACACGUGAUCCGGCUGAGACACCUGAGCUGCAAAGUAUUCACUCUGAGUGGACGUCAUGAUGACUGGCAGGGUACAGCGACCGAGGAGAAUGGCACCUUCUUGAACUUGCCCUGGGCAGCCUUGUACCACCGGACUGGAAUACGGAGCCAGGACUUGUGGAGCCCAGAUGUCCCGCCGGACAAGCGCUGCCUCCUGAACGCCCGUCUCUUCCCUGUGCUCUGUGCCUCGGAGCCCCUGGACCUCGGGGGCCUCUUGUGGCUCCUGGGCUCCCCAGAGACCCGGCAGCUGCAGUCCUGGAGGAGGGCCUGGCGCCUGUCCUGGGAGGAGAUGAGGGCCUGUCUGGACCAGGAGGCGGAACUGGCCUCCCGCAGGGCCAACUUUUUCCUCCAGGCCCAGCGCAAGAUCCAGCGGGUCCUGACGGAGCAGAGGAACUGCAGCCUCCUGCCCCUGGUCCGCUCGGCCAUCCUGGAGGGCUUUGGGGAGGCUCUGCUGGAUAUUCUGGACCAGGUGGCUGCCACUGCUGGGGAUCUGGGGGUCGCUGCUCGGGCCCUCGCGUGCAUCGCAGAUCUCCUGGGCUGCAUGGCCAGAGGGGAGGGGGGCCUGCGGAGUGGCCCCACAGCCAACCUUGCUUGGGCCGCUGCCUUCCAGCAACUGGAGAAGGGAAACAUCGCUCAGGGUGUAAAGGCUCUUGCUGUGGAGAGGAAGAAGUGGCUAAGCAGACCCAUCCUGCUGGUUCGUGCUGCCCGACACUACGAGGGGGCCGAGCAGAUCCUCAUCCGUCGGGCCAUCCUGGUCUCCUGCCAGUUCAUCAGCUUCUGGCAGGAGGAGCUGCCUCCCCUGGGCUGCUGGGUGAGAGUGGAGUGCCCUGCACGGAUCGACCUCUCCGGGGGCUGGAGCGAUACCCCUCCAAUCACGUAUGAACACGGUGGAGCAGUGGUGGAUGUGGCUGUCCUAGUGGACGGCCGCAGGCCUAUUGGUGCCCAGGCACGACGCAUUGCCACCCCAGAAUUGCAACUGAUCAGCACCAGUGGAAGGCUGGAGGGAGAGGUGGUGGUGGAGCUGGUCUGUCGUGACCUAGAGGACCUGAGGGAUUACUGCCAGCCACAUAUGCCAGGAGCCUUGCUCAAAGCAGCCUUGGUCUGCACUCACAUUGUUAAUCUCCUGUCCCCCCAAACCUUGCGAGAACAGCUGCAAGAACGUUUCGGAGGUGGCCUUGAGCUUCACACCUGGUCUCGUCUGCCCCAUGGAUCGGGCUUGGGGACAAGCAGCAUCCUGGCAGGCGCAGUGAUCAUGGCGCUGUAUCGCGUAUCUGGGCGCUGCGCUGGUGUAGACUCCCUCAUUCAUGCUGUGCUACACUUGGAGCAGGUUUUGACCACAGGUGGCGGAUGGCAAGACCAGGUGGGGGGCCUGGUCCCAGGGCUUAAGAUUGGGCGCUCAAAGGCCCAGCUGCCCCUGAAGGUCGAAGUGGAAGAGAUCACCCCGCCGGAAGGCUUCGUCCACGUCUUGAACCAGCACUUGCUCUUGCUGUACACGGGGAAAACCCGCCUUGCUCGCAACUUGCUCCAGGAUGUUCUAAGGAACUGGUAUGCCAGGCUGCCCACCGUGGUAGAGACCGCCAGUGCCCUGGUGAGCAAUGCGGAAGAAUGCGCCCAAGCCCUUAAACAAGGGUCUUCAAAUCUUCCUGGUUGCAAAAGGGCUGCCAGAGGGCAUGGGCAACCUGGCUCUGCUGGGCCAGUGUAUGAAUCGGUACUGGCUGCAGAAGAAGCAGAUGGCCCCUGGCUGUGAGCCUCUGGUGGUCCGGCAGAUCAUGGAGGUGCUCCAGCCCCACGUCUAUGGGCAGAGCCUGGCCGGAGCUGGUGGGGGCGGCUUCCUCUGCCUGGUAACCAAAGAACCCAGGAACUGGGUGGCCUUGCGGGAGAUCCUGGCGGAAGCUGCGGUCCUUGGAAAUUUCACCCUGCACACUGUGGAAGUGGACCCAGUGGGAUUCAAGGUGGAGCUUCUGGGGGACCCGCACACUUUAGAGGUGUGAAAGAGCAGCUCCCCCCUCUGCUCCUCCUCCACCACAAAGGGGGUGCAGGAACCAGCCACCAGCUCUGCUGUGGGGACAACCACAGCUGUGUUGCAGAUCCCAACCAAGCAAGCGGCGGGAUGAAGUUCUUGGAAAGAGUUGAAAGCAGCAGGACUGCAUCUGUUGUACGAAGCAUGCAACAUUCGGCCUGGCAAAUCUAUUUUUCACACAAAUGGGUCCCCAAAGCAAGCAGCACAUUGGUUGUGAAUACCCACAAUUAUUCCUUUGCAAUUACAAGAUAAAGGUUGCA